rnacentral:lncRNA from 1 species
AAAGUAUACCAGCCUUAGAUCUGUGAAAUGGAUAUGUUUUCACCCGUUCGAAUUUUUAGCAAUGGAAUUUUUUAAUCAGCAUUCAAAUGAUUCAGUACGUAUGUAUGAUGGCUAUACGGCGUCUUUCUCGGGAAACGUUUGGAAAUAUUGUAAAAAAGCGCCUUAGUUUUGGAGCUUCUGUUAGGCAGAGUUAAAUGACAUUUUCACUUGCUGACAUUUUCGUACUUUAAAUAGUGCUGACUUGUUGUU